rnacentral:rRNA from 1 species
UGGGGAAUAUUGCACAAUGGGCGCAAGCCUGAUGCAGCCAUGCCGCGUGUAUGAAGAAGGCCUUCGGGUUGUAAAGUACUUUCAGCGGGGAGGAAGGGAGUAAAGUUAAUACCUUUGCUCAUUGACGUUACCCGCAGAAGAAGCACCGGCUAACUCCGUGCCAGCAGCCGCGGUAAUACGGAGGGUGCAAGCGUUAAUCGGAAUUACUGGGCGUAAAGCGCACGCAGGCGGUUUGUUAAGUCGGAUGUGAAAUCCCCGGGCUCAACCUGGGAACUGCAUCUGAUACUGGCAAGCUUGAGUCUCGUAGAGGGGGGUAGAAUUCCAGGUGUAGCGGUGAAAUGCGUAGAGAUCUGGAGGAAUACCGGUGGCGAAGGCGGCCCCCUGGACGAAGACUGACGCUCAGGUGCGAAAGCGUGGGGAGCAAACAGG